rnacentral:rRNA from 1 species
ACGGAAGGCAGCAGUGGGGGAUAUUGCACAAUGGGGGAAACCCUGAUGCAGCGACGCCGCGUGAGCGAAGAAGUAUUUCGGUAUGUAAAGCUCUAUCAGCAGGGAAGAAAAUGACGGUACCUGACUAAGAAGCCCCGGCUAACUACGUGCCAGCAGCCGCGGUAAUACGUAGGGGGCAAGCGUUAUCCGGAUUUACUGGGUGUAAAGGGAGCGCAGACGGCGAGGCAAGUCUGAUGUGAAAGCUCGGGGCUCAACCCCGGAACUGCAUUGGAAACUGUUUUGCUAGAGUGUCGGAGAGGUAAGCGGAAUUCCUAGUGUAGCGGUGAAAUGCGUAGAUAUUAGGAGGAACACCAGUGGCGAAGGCGGCUUACUGGACGAUAACUGACGUUCAUGCUCGAAAGCGUGGGGAGCAAACAGGAUUAGAUACCCUGGUA